ACGAAAAAUGUCAAUAUCGAUUGAUUUUGUAAUUUUUGCCUUCUACUUCAUCAGGAUUGUAAUCACAAAACACCAGGACAAAGAAAUCAAUUAGUUGUUUUUUUCACACACUAAAUGCUUGUUUGUUGGACUUUUUGAUGACCCCACGCAACGCCAUCAUUCACAUGUAGCUCAUUUCCAUUCAAGCGACUUUUUUAGGUGUUUUUGUCAAUCAUGUAUUGUCACAAAUAACACGUGUAAUGUGAAAGUGCAAAGGCAACCUCUCAUUGAUUUGACACGCAGGCCAACAGGAACCAGUCGGUUGUAUCGUUUCUUCCACACAGCGGACUGGGGAAAUGAUGACGUUAGCCAGCCAGCUAGCUUGCUGAUCAAGCAGCAGUUGUUGAAUAAUUCCCUAACAACUUCAUUGGGAUUGGUUCGCUUUUGGAGAAACAAUGAAUUCUCUGUUGUCCAAUCCACAAGGAAACGGGCUCCUUUACGCUGGAUUUAACCAGGACCAUGGGUGCUUUGCCUGUGGGAUGGAGAAUGGAUUUCGGGUUUACAACACGGAUCCUCUUAAAGAGAAGGAGAAACAAGAGUUCUUGGAGGGCGGGGUCGGCCAUGUGGAGAUGCUCUUCAGGUGUAACUACCUCGCUCUCGUGGGGGGGGGGAAGAAACCCAAGUACCCAACCAAUAAAGUGAUGAUCUGGGAUGACCUGAAGAAGAAGACGGUCAUUGAGAUUGAGUUCUCCACAGAGGUCAAAGCGGUGAAGCUCCGACGUGACAGAAUCGUGGUGGUCCUGGACUCUAUGAUCAAAGUGUUCACCUUUACCCACAACCCCCACCAGCUACACGUGUUUGAGACCUGCUACAAUCCCAAAGGACUGUGUGUGCUGUGUCCCAACAGCAACAAUUCUCUUCUGGCCUUUCCCGGGACCCACUCAGGCCAUGUUCAAAUCGUAGACCUGGCAAACACAGAGAAGCCCCCGGUUGAUAUCCCAGCCCACGAGGGCUCCCUGUGCUGCAUCGCCCUCAACCUCCAGGGGACCAGAAUAGCUACCGCGUCGGAGAAGGGGACCCUUAUCAGAAUUUUUGACACAUCAGCGGGCCAGCUCAUACAGGAACUGAGACGAGGCUCUCAGACAGCAAACAUUUACUGCAUCAAUUUCAACCAAGACGCAUCCCUCAUUUGCGUGUCCAGUGACCAUGGCACAGUGCACAUCUUUGCAGCCGAAGACGCAAAGAGGAACAAGCAGUCCAGUUUGGCAUCAGCCAGCUUUCUUCCAAAAUACUUCAGCUCCAAGUGGAGCUUCUCCAGGUUCCAGCUGCCCUCAGGCUCCCCCUGCUUGUGUGCCUUCGGGACGGAGCCCAACGCCGUCAUAGCCAUCUGUGCUGAUGGCAGCUACUACAAGUUCCUGUUCAACCAGAAGGGGGAGUGUUCCAGGGACGUCUAUGCCCAAUUCCUGGAGAUGACCGAUGACAAAAUAUGACACCACAGCACAGCCUCUUUUCUUUCUUCUUCUUUUUUUCCACCACCACCGCCCCUUUUUUCAUGAUCUGGAAGGGACGGAUUUACUUCCCUUCCCGCCGACAAGACUCUGCCCGAAAGAGCAUGGCAAAAAAUUAACAGGGAAGAAACUUUGUAUCCGGGUAGUCUCUCUGGACUUUCAGAGUGAUGUGGAUGCCAACUCUCGAGGCAAACACCACAGAGGAGGAACAAACGGCAAGGACCUGGUCCACAUGUCUUCCCAGGACUUGAACUUGGCAAUGGAUGGAUAUUUUUGAAAACUCCUAAAUGGAGAGAUUGUUGUCGACUAACACCACCUAAGCUAAUCCUAGCGAGUGCCUCUGACUGGAGACAGAACCUGCAAACACAUUCUGUAUGUGUGUGUGUGUGUGUGUGUGUGUCCUCGCAGCGGGAUCACACGGAACAACCAAGUACCCACAUAGCUGUAAAGCAGGGGUGUCCAAAGUGCAGCCUGGGGGCCAUUUGCAGCCCGUGGCUGUGUUUUUAUUGGCCCACGGCACAUUCUAUAAUAAUAAUACCAUUUAACAAGAAAUACAACCCAAAACUGCAAAAUCAGUCAUUUUAACAGUCAAAAGUUGCAAUCUACUGAGAAAUAGACAUACUUUUUCAAGUAUAAUGGAACAUUGUCAUUUUUACUUCAUAUUCUAGAAAUUAAAAAAAAAACUCAUACCAUUAUGAAAAACAAACAAUAACAAAUUAAGUUGUGAUUUAAGGAAAGGGAUUGGAUUUUUUUGGAAUUAGUUUGGGGAAAAUGUUUUAAUAUGGGAAUGAAAUAUUCAUAAUAGGAAAAACACUAUUUAACAAGUCAAUUUAGUUGGUAAUGAUAAUAAUAAUAGACACACACUGACCUAAUGUUAGGACACCCCCGCUGUGGCCUAUAUUCAUCAUUCAGUCUCUGAACACCACACUGACCUAAUGUUAGGACACCCCGGCUGUAGGCUAUAUUCAUCAUUCACUCUCUGAACACCACACUGACCUAAUGUCAGGAAACCCCCGCUGAAGGCUAUAUUCAUCAUUCACCCUCUGAACACAACAAUGACCUAAUGUUAGGACACCCCCGCUGUAGGCUAUAUUCAUCAUUCACUCUCUGAACACCACACUGACCUAAUGUUAGGACACCCCCGCUUGUAGGCUAUAUUCAUCAUUCACUCUCUGAACACCACACUGACCUAAUGUUAGGACACCCCCGCUGUAGGCUAUAUUCAUCAUUCACUCUAUGAACACCACACUCACCUAAUGUUAGGACACCCCGGCUGUAGGCUAUAUUCAUCAUUCACUAUCUGAACACCACACUGACCUAAUGUUAGGACACCCCGGCUGUAGGCUAUAUUCAUCAUUCACUCUCUGAACACCACACUGACCUAAUGUCAGGAAACCCCCGCUGAAGGCUAUAUUCAUCAUUCACUCUCUGAACACCACACUGACCUAAUGUUAGGACACCCCGGCUGUAGGCUAUAUUCAUCAUUCACUCUCUGAACGCCACACUGACCUAAUGUUAGGACACCCCCGCUGUAGGCUAUAUUCAUCAUUCACCCUCUGAACACCACACUGACCUAAUGUUAGGACACCCCCGCUGUAGGCUAUAUUCAUCAUUCACCCUCUGAACACCACACUGACCUAAUGUUAGGACACCCCCGCUGUAGGCUAUAUUCAUCAUUCACCGUCUGAACACCACACUGACCUAAUGUUCCAAUCAUGUUUUUGUUUUGUUUUUGAUAAAAUUGAGCGCUAUACAAGCUUUGCUUUUACCAAGGUAUCCUGUCUUACUAAAGGUGUAAUGAUGCUUUUGUUCUUUCUUUUGCUGGUUUUGUCAGCUUAGUAUGAAGAGGAAACAUGAAUGCUAAGAAAUGCAGCGCCAGAAGAAACUGAUGUCAACGUCUAACCCAGCCAGCAUCUUAUCUUUCUCUGCCUCCAUGCCCCCCUCCCCAACCCGCGCUCCACCGCAUCCCAGCCCGUCGCCCGUGCCGAGAGUUCCGGGGGAUGGCUGCUGCAGGGCGAACUGCGGUGGAGAGGACAUGGGUACGUCGCUGAAGCUGUCAGGGAGUGAGCCGCUCAGAGAGAGCUCUGAGGACGCUGGUGAGAUCGGUGGAGUGGAGGAGGUGCUGGCAUAAGGGUAAUACCCGCCCUGGGACAGGGUACUGGAGGAGGAUGGAGACUGGUAAGAGGACAGCGACCCCACUGGAGUUACGGGGAAGGUCACCGUCGUGAUAUCGGAGGAGCCCGACGGGGAGGAUCCGUCACUUGAAUCUUUGAAGGGCCGAAGUCUCUCAAUGAGCGCCAUCUUGGUGCCGGAAACCGGCAAGCCCCGAAUCCGAAGAUGCUGCCUGAGCUCAGACACCUUGUAAAGCAUCACAUGACUUAUUCCACUAAAAUGUUAGGUUGGAACAUUGACAAUAUACAGGAGCACCUACUUUAAGGUCAUCCAGAUUUGGUGGCAGGGGUCCGGGUCUGACGGGAGAGAUGUUGUUUUGGGCGGGAUAUGUGGUUUUGACCGGUGAGGAUGGGAUGCUGUCCCCUGGCUUGGGUGGACAGUUGGGGGCACACACCGGCAGCUGGUCGCCGCUCCCUCUGGAAUGGAGGAAUGAAAGUUUGGAAUAGUCAAGAACAGGGGUCUCAAACUCAAUUUACUUGGGGGCCACUGGAGCAUUAACAUGAACAUUAAUCAAACAUAAUAAUUCUUUCUGGGUACAUGAUACCAUACAGCAUCCAUAUCAAACUUGCGCGGGCCGCACUAACAUUAAACUUUAAUAUGAAGGCGGGGGCCUCAAACUAGUGUCCUGCGGGCCACAUUUGGCCCACAGGCCGCAUGUUUGAGACCCCUGGUCAAGAAUGUGGCUGAGGAAACGUGAACGUUGGGAUGAAAAGUUAACGUUGGGAUGAAACAUGAACGUUAGGAUAAAACGUGAACGUUGGGAUGAAACAUCAACGUUAGGAUAAAACGUGAACAUUGGGAUAAAACGUGAAUAUUGGGAUGAAACGUGAACGUUGGGAUGAAAUGUGAAAAUUGGGAUGAAACGGAACGUUGGGAUAAAACGUGAACGUUGGGAUGAAACAUGAACGUUGGGAUGAAAAGUUAACAUUGGGAUGAAACGUGAACAUUGGGAUGAAACAUGAAUAUUAGGAUAAAAUGUGAACAUCGGGAUAAAACGUGAAUAUUGGGAUGAAACGUGAACGUUGGGAUGAAACGUGAAAAUUGGGAUGAAACGGAACGUUGGGAUAAAAUGUGAACGUUGGGAUGAAACAUGAACGUUGGGAUGAAAAGUUAACGUUGGGAUGAAACGUGAAUGUUGGGAUGAAACGUGAAUGUUGGGAUGAAACAUAAACGUUAGGAUAAAACGUGAACGUUGGGAUGAAACAUGAACGUUGGGAUGAAACGUGAAUGUUGGGAUGAAACAUGAACGUUGGGAUAAAACGUGAACGUUGGGAUAAAACGUGAAUGUUAGGCUGAAACGUGAAAAGUAGGAUGAAACGGUGUCCUGCGGGCCACAUUUGGCCCACGGGCCGCAUGUUUGAGACCCCCUGGUCAAGAAUGUGGGAAAUGUAUUUUUGAUUUGUGACACGUGUAUUCAUUGAAAAUCAUGGAAAAAAAAAUGAUAUGAUGACUGAUAUUUACAUUUGUUUGAUGAGAAGCAUUUAAAAGGGACAAACAUGUAAAUACAGUUAUGAGUUAUGAAAGAAUAGCUUGAAACGAUGCAAAGUGUAACGUACUUAUGCAUGUGCGCUGGCGGGUGAGGCUGGUAGGUGAAGGCGGGUUGUCGCUGCUGCGUCUGACCCUGCAUGGGUGCGGCGGGCUGCUGCGAGUGCGUAUGAGCGUGUUUCUGCUGGCUGAGGAUCUGCAGCUGCAGGAAGAGCUGCUGCUGUUGAAGGAGUCGAGCGUAAGCCGAGUCCAUCGGCGGGGGCGACUUAUCGGCCUUUUGGUCCGGGGGGAUGUACUGGUGGUACUUCAGCUUCUUCACUUUGGGUUUCACAUCUUUGGGCUUCUUAUGGCGGCUCUUGUCUGCCGUCUUGGCCUGUGGUGAAACACGGGAACAGUAUUGGUGGCGUACGCGGGUAAAUAUGACAACGCAGUUUAGCCGUAUGCUAACCUUGACAACAGCAGGAACUGGGAUUGGGGCAGUGGCCUGGUUGUUGCCGGUUCCACACGGUCCUUCAUCCUGGAUUUGGUCAGGGGGGUCUCCGCUUGUGCCCUCCUGUUCACAUGCAAGCAAAUAUC